rnacentral:lncRNA from 1 species
ACAUCCAAGACUUUCUGAACUGCUCCAACGGUGUUGGAAACAAGAUCCAAUUGAGAGACCAGCUUUCUCCGAAAUAAUUGAAAUUCUUCAGAACAUAGCAAAAGAGGUAAACUACUGCUGAAAUUCAUACAAUAGCACUCAAUUGGACCUAUUAAGUAAUUUUCUGCUUCAUGUUUCUACCAGGUCAACGAUACAAAAACAGAUCGACACAAAGACAAAUCAUCCCAUCAUGGCUUUCUAUCAACACUUAAACGUGCCCAUAACUGAUAUUUAUACCCAUAUAAAGAUUAUACAACAGCAUAACCUUUUUGUCCUGUACAGUAGGUCUGACCAAGAUUGAGUUGGCUGUUUCUGCCCUUUGAAGGAUUCUGUUGUACUCUGCUAUUGCCUUAGUUUUGUCUUGCAUUCUGCUCCUCCCUUGUGUCAACUCAACUUUAUAGGAUGGAUGCAAGAGCAGUGAAAGUCGGAAAAUUUAAGGCAACCUGUAAUCUUGAAAUUUUGCUGUAUGUUUUCCACGCAUUUCAUAUUGGAGCUUACGAUGCACUCCUGUGUCCAAAUCCCUUUGUUUUGGUAUGUAACAAGAUUGGACUCUAUCAAUUUGCGUUUGAUUGUCCACAAAUAAUCUAAACACCACGAUUUUGUCCAAAGACUAUCAGCUGCUUGUUAUUGCAAUCAACAAAGAAUGAUUAUUGCUAUGGAUUAAACAGCAACCAACACUUUACUUUUGACUGGAUCAAAUCACUAUUUAAUAUUUACACAGGUGUAACUACUAACUAGUCACCACUGAUAUUACGCUGCUGAAAAGCUAAACUUAUUUAAUUGUAUUUGUAAUUUACUUGUGAUUAAUAUGAAGGAGCUUGUAAUUGGAAUUGUGAUCGAGUUGCUAGUGUUACGAACUUACGAUGAUCUGUAAAUAAAGUUUUGCGACUCGCUUAACGUUAUGUCAGCCUAGUUUAAGAGAGAAAAUAAAGAAUUUUGAACAGUAUGAUAAAAGUUCAGCAGUUAACAUAAAAAAACCAUUGUAAAUGUGAUUCUUUCAAGCACUCCACCCUCGGGCAUCCACAGCCAUAACAUCCAGGGAAGAUUUUUUCCUUCUUAUAAUUUGACCUAUAUCUAUCUCUACCCAAAAAUUGAUUCAUGAGUAAGAUUUUAUACGGUGCUUGCGGUAUUUCUAUGGCUUCUUCACUUUAAUUUGUCGUUUGAGCUACUUGUUUAAUGAGGUAAGUAGGUAACAAUCCUAAAAAUUCACGGGGAAAGCUUGCUGCUUCCUGCUUGGAUCUUUCAGAAGUAGAGUACUAAACAUUGAAACUGUUGGGACCUGAGAGCUUAAUAGUGAUGACUGGUAGCAUGUGGGUUAUGUCUCUUGGUAAUCACAAAAACCAUUUCUUUUAUGAAGAAAAUAAAAUAGAGAAAAUUUGUAUGAACAAAGAGUUGUUCUAAGUUUUAGCUCGGCGAUUUUUUUCAUUUAUAAAUGAAGGUUUGGAACUAUAAGGACGUGAUGGCAUCAUCAACAACACAGCACAUCAAGCCAUGAACAACCUUUUUCUAAUUGUUGAUGCAAUAUAUUAAUAACCAUUUCUGCAUUUACAUGUACUUUUCAGUAUUUGGAUUCUUCAACUCUCAUUGCAGUUCCAUGUGUGGGUCUCUACCAAAAACUUAUUCUAUAUACAGCUGCAGCUCCAAUUCACCGUUCUGUUGGAAGUCCAGUUUGGGUCCACGCAGCAUAACCGCCAGCUAUGUCUGUGACUCCAGUGAACCCCUGAGGAUACAAUAAUCAAUAAAUUUUAGACACUAAAACUAUCUUUCAGCUAAAGUUUUGCAAGAUCAUUAGGUAUAUUCAAAAUGAAUCAGUGCAUUCAACUCAAAAGCUAAGACCUGAAAUUUCUCUAGAAGAACAAUAUCCAGAUUAUAGAGUGCAAAAUCAAACUAGAGGUGGAACCGUGUUUAUACCAUCACCAAAUGAUUAAGAUGCCAGGAAGUUAGCAGCACAAGUAAUCAUUAAUUUCGACACAAAAAGAUAAUGAAAUUAUUCUUAUGGAUUAAGAUGAAAUUCUUUCUUAUUUUACUCGAUCAAUCUAGUGUAUUCAGCUAGUCCUGGAAAGAUGCCUUUCUGUGAAAGAACAAAACUUGAUUCAGACAUUCAAACUAGGUGUUUGUUUUCACUUUUCAACUUCAAUCAACAAUGACAAUUGCCGAAUAUAAAACAUUUUUCUUCUGUGCGCACGAUAAACCUGUGUGGCUUAAAUUUCUAUUAGGGUCUACGGCCAUCGAUUCCCAAAAACACACAUCCAAGACUUUCUGAACUGCUCCAACGGUGUUGGAAACAAGAUCCAAUUGAGAGACCAGCUUUCUCCGAAAUAAUUGAAAUUCUUCAGAACAUAGCAAAAGAGGUAAACUACUGCUGAAAUUCAUACAAUAGCACUCAAUUGGACCUAUUAAGUAAUUUUCUGCUUCAUGUUUCUACCAGGUCAACGAUACAAAAACAGAUCGACACAAAGACAAAUCAUCCCAUCAUGGCUUUCUAUCAACACUUAAACGUGCCCAUAACUGAUAUUUAUACCCAUAUAAAGAUUAUACAACAGCAUAACCUUUUUGUCCUGUACAGUAGGUCUGACCAAGAUUGAGUUGGCUGUUUCUGCCCUUUGAAGGAUUCUGUUGUACUCUGCUAUUGCCUUAGUUUUGUCUUGCAUUCUGCUCCUCCCUUGUGUCAACUCAACUUUAUAGGAUGGAUGCAAGAGCAGUGAAAGUCGGAAAAUUUAAGGCAACCUGUAAUCUUGAAAUUUUGCUGUAUGUUUUCCACGCAUUUCAUAUUGGAGCUUACGAUGCACUCCUGUGUCCAAAUCCCUUUGUUUUGGUAUGUAACAAGAUUGGACUCUAUCAAUUUGCGUUUGAUUGUCCACAAAUAAUCUAAACACCACGAUUUUGUCCAAAGACUAUCAGCUGCUUGUUAUUGCAAUCAACAAAGAAUGAUUAUUGCUAUGGAUUAAACAGCAACCAACACUUUACUUUUG